GUUAUUUCUUUUUCCACCUUGUGGUACAUAAAGUUUAAAUGCCCUGUGCAAUAGGAAUAUGUCAGUACAUAAUCCGCAUCUUUUAUAUAUAAUUAAGUACUUGAAAUCAAAAUUAAAAUCUAACUUACGUUCGUGCCGGGGUCGUCAACCUUAUAUCUCGUUCCCUUCUCAAGGAAUCAAACACAUAAAUAACACUCUCAUCCAAACAAAACAGAAGUAACAUCCAAUGAUCACUACAACAAUGCACACACAUAAAUGAUAAAAACAUACAUAUUGUUAUAAUAUCUAUGAAAUGACUCGAAUACAUUAAUUUUGUUCUUACUCUUGGAUGUAUGGUGCAAUGAUGAAACGCUUAUCUUUGUUUGCAACUAAAAAUUGUGUCAUAUAUUGAGUUGCAUCCUCAAUACGAUUGUAUUCACGCUUGUGAUUUAUCACUAGUCUAGAAGGUGACAUAAAUGCAAACCUAUCAUCGUUUAGCUCUUUGCACAACUUCCCAAUGUACCUACAAAAUCAUAUAUCACAAUGAACAUGCAUGGUAAUAAACAAUACAAGAGCAGAGUAUUAGGAGAAUAAGAACUGUUCUUACUUUGAAAAGAUUUCCAAGAUGGGUAUAUUUAACCAGCUCCUUUUUAGAAAUUGAUCAACAUCUUCGUAUGUCACAUAUAUAGGUUCUCCAUCUUGUUCAAAAGUAAAAGUUGUACCUUUUGCAUUAGAUUGCUCAAGCAAGUAGCGCAAGGAUCGACAAUUUUGAGUUGAAU
rnacentral:lncRNA from 1 species